CCUACGGGUGGCAGCAGUUUUUGCUAUUGCCCCAUGGGGGAAACCCUGAUGCAGCGACGCCGCGUGGGUGAAGAAGCGCCUCGGCGCGUAAAGCCCUGUCAGCAGGGAAGAAAAUGACGGUACCUGAAGAAGAAGCCCCGGCUAACUACGUGCCAGCAGCCGCGGUAAUACGUAGGGGGCAAGCGUUAUCCGGAUUUACUGGGUGUAAAGGGGGCGCAGACGGCGAUGCAAGCCAGGAGUGAAAGCCCGGGGCCCAACCCCGGGACUGCUCUUGGAACUGCGUGGCUAGAGUGCAGGAGGGGCAGGCGGAAUUCCUGGUGUAGCGGUGAAAUGCGUAGAUAUCAGGAGGAACACCGGUGGCGAAGGCGGCCUGCUGGACUGCAACUGACGUUGAGGCCCGAAAGCGUGGGGAGCAAACAGGAUUAGAUACCCCUGUAGUC
rnacentral:rRNA from 1 species